UCUCAUCAAUCUCUUUCCUCCCCUCAUAAGAUCCAAGUCAUGGCAGGCAAGAACCAGAGGAACGGGCAGUACCCCGCUAACCCGAUAACAAAGGUUAAUAGGGGAUAUGCUGGUAGAUAUGCAAGAGAGAAGGUAACAUGGUGGUUAUAAAUAUAGAUCUGGAAAAAGCAUAUGACCCAGUAGAGCAUGGAUUCAUGCUUGCAGUCCUGAGAAAAAUGGGAUUCCCAAAGAGGAUGAUCUGGGCAAGACAGUUACUGUAUGAGAUGGACAAGAGCCAGAUAUUGAUAAAUGGCUACUUGAGCCAGGACUUUGAGAUAUAAUCUGCCUGUUAUCCACAGAGCUUUUCAUGUGUGUCAUAGUACCAUUGGCCCAAAAAAUAAGAAGAGACAAGCUACUUACAGGGGUGAAAAUCCCUGAUGGAGAAGAAAUUAAGUGUAUGCUAUAUAUGGACAACAUCACAGUAAUAGGACAAGACAAACUGUCAAUUGAUAGAGUAAUGAAACAUGCAACAGACUAUGGCAAAGUGGCAGGGGCAAAAAUUAAUAAAAAGAAGAGCAUGCUAAUGGGAAUAGUGAACUAGGAAGGUCUGGAAGACUUUGGUUUGCAGCUACAAACAGAAGGAAUGAAGAUCCCGGGCAUACAGAUCCACAUGAAAGGGAAAGGUGAUGAAGCAUGGAAAAAGAUAAUCGGGGUACAGCAGAUAACAGACUUCUGGAAAAAGAAUGCUGUCUAAACAAGGCAAAGUGGAACUGAUAAAGACAGUAUUAUUACCAGUGAUUCUCCAUGUAAGAAUUGUUUCCUCCAUCAUGGCAACAAACACAAAGGACACAAAGAGAAUUGUGCACCUUUUUCUGGGGCAGCAAAAGGGAAUUUGAAUGGCAAGGCAAGAGAUACGCAAGGGAAAACAGGUAGGAGGAUAGGGAAUGCAAAACAUAGAGUUGUUUGUUUAUACAAAAUUCAUCAGCAAAAUGUGGAUGGUGGAGGUAAAGGGAACAGGGAAAA